GACGAACGCUGGCGGCGUGCUUAACACAUGCAAGUCGAACGGAAAGGCCCUGCUUGUGUGGGGUUCUCGAGUGGCGAACGGGUGAGUAACACGUGAGUAACCUGCCCUUGACUUUGGGAUAACUUCAGGAAACUGGGGCUAAUACCGGAUAGGAGCUCCUGCUGCAUGGUGGGGGUUGGAAAGUUUCGGCGUUUGGGGAUGGACUCGCGGCUUAUCAGCUUGUUGGUGGGGUAGUGGCUUACCAAGGCUUUGACGGGUAGCCGGCCUGAGAGGGUGACCGGCCACAUUGGGACUGAGAUACGGCCCAGACUCCUACGGGAGGCAGCAGUGGGGAAUAUUGCACAAUGGGCGGAAGCCUGAUGCAGCAACGCCGCGUGCGGGAUGACGGCCUUCGGGUUGUAAACCGCAUUCGCCUGUGACGAAGCGUGAGUGACGGUAAUGGGUAAAGAAGCACCGGCUAACUACGUG
rnacentral:rRNA from 1 species